CGACCCGCAGGGCUGCGGCCGGGCCGGGGGGCGACUCCAGCCGCAACCCUGGGCUUGCCCCUUCCUGGGACAAUGAGGAUGCAGUGCAGACUUAAGCGUUUCGACCCGACUGGGUGUCAGCGUCGCGGGGACACUGGGUGCCCCUAGAGUGUCCGAGUCCUCUCAAGCUUGGGGGUCUGCGGGCCACACACUCGUGGACGCGGCUGUCUGUGCCACCGGGGGCUGGGCUUGGUCGCAGUUGUGUGUGGACGCUGAUGGACACCUUCACGGUAGCUGCCGGUGGGCUGCCCUCCUCCAGGCUGGCCACCGGGCUCUCCCCAUCCGCUGGCACCCCUGAAGUUGGCCUAACCCCAGCGCACUCACAUCCUAGCUCUGAUUCACUGGGCAUGCGGUCCUGGUUCUCCGAUCGCGCCCAGCUGGUGGGGAGGGUCUGGCAGGGUCAGGAUGCGGAACUGGUGGGGGGAGGCAGGUAGGCCUGAGGCCCGGAGAGGUUUGAAAAGUGCCCACAGCGCCUGUGAAGGGGCAGCGGGAGAAGAUGGGAGAGAAGGGGGAGAUGUUAAAUAUUUCUUGAAACGCGGUCUUUCUGUGGCCUGGGAUUUUGCAGUGGCCCCUGCUCCACCCUCCACCCUGAGGUGGUGGUUUUCCUCUCCAGCCCCAGGUCCAGCCCUCUCCCCUUGGGACCCCCCCCCCGCCCCACAGGCCCCCUCCUGGGCUCUGUGAGGAAGCCCCAUUGCUCUCAUACAUGACCUUUCCCUUCACACUUGCUUGUUCUGCUCCUCUGCUCCUUCUCCACCUGCCGAGCUCCUACUCACCCUUCAAGACCCCGGUCAAGUAUCCUCUCCUCUGGAAGGUGCCUCCAACCACGUAUCCCCCCUUCCCGGGCACCCCUUACCCCUCCUGAGUGUGAGUGGAGGGGAUUUGUUUCCUCUCGACCAUUCCUUUCUUCCAUCCCCAAAGUUCCAGUUUGGUUUAUAGACCUAUGUCCCCCACUGGCUCGGUUUUCUUAUCAUGGCCCACGGUGAGACAUUUCUAUUUUGUGAUCCAGUGGCCCACACGUGUGUUUAAACAGCUCCAGGGGCGCCUGGAGUCUGUUAAGCGUCCGACUUCGGCUCAGGUCAUGAUCUCACGGUUCGUGGGUUCGAGUCCCGUGUCGGGCCCUGUGCUGACAGCUCGGAGCCUGGAACCUGCUUCGGAUCCUGUGUCUCCCCCUCUCUCUCUCCCUCCCCUGCUCACACUGUCUCUCUCUCAAAAAUAAAUAAACAUUUUUAAAAAAUUCAACAACUCUAGAAGCUUCCAGAAUAGUACUCCGGACCACACAGUCUGAUAGGUUUUGUUGUUUCACUGCAUCAAGAUGCUGCUACCUUCUCAGCCGGUUGAGCAUCUGGCUCAGGUCAUGAUCUCACGGUUCGUGAGUUCGAGCCCCGCGUUGGGCUCUGUGCUGACAGCUCGGAGCCUGGAGCCUGCUUCGGAUUCUGUGUCUCCCUCUCGUUUCUGCCCCCGCCCGCCCCCCCCCCCGCUCUCUCUCUCUCUCUCAAAAAUAAAUAAACACUUAAAAAAUUUAAGAAAAAGACGCUGCCACCUUGCCACUACAGGUACAGAGCCCUGAGGAGAGUGAGGAUGGGGCUGUGUCCUCAGGGACACCUACCUGGGUGGCAGGGCCAGGGGAAGCCCCUGAACACCUGCUGUGUUUGUUUGCAGGCCCUUGUUUGGGGGUCUGGUGGGGAUCCCAAUCUUGCUCUCCAUCCUGAGCAUCCCCCUCCCGGCUGCAGCCCCGGGCCUCCCCACAGGGGUCAGAGCUGCAGCCGGUGGCCUGGCGCCACCUGCCGGGAUGCUGCUGGGGUUGCCACAGAGCUGGCUGCCCAGAUUGGGGUGGGGAGAGCUGGCAGAAAGGGUCUGAGUCCGUUGGAGGCUUCAGGGCAGGGCCACAAACCAGGGCGCCCCAGACCGAGCCUAACCAUUUCUGUGUCGUCUGUGGCCGCUUUCCAGCUGCCGCGGCAGAACCGAGCAGCCCCCCGAGAAGAGAGCCAACGGCCCACAAACCUGAGGACCACUACUCGUCGGCCUCUGUGAGGUUUGUUGAGCCCUGCUCCCCAGUUUAAACACGGGGAGGACGGCUGCCGUUCUCGGGUCGUGUUUUGACUUCCCAGGCCUUGGCAGGGGUCAAGCGUGACUUCAGGCUCACAGUAACAGCGAUGUCAUUUGCCGUGUGUCCUUCAGGGGGAAGGCUUCGUCUUGGGGAUUCCAGGGAGAUCGCGCCUCCCGUGGUCCAGUCAGAGGCCUGAGCAAGCCCCCCAGCUCACAGAGGGGCUCGACGGCCCCGGUCCCUCGCACACAGACGUGGGCUGGGACUCCGCCCCUUGGCUCCGGCUGCCUUAUGACCAGAUCCGAGCCCCAGGGACCCCACUUCCGGGGAUGGGUCAGAGGCUGUGCGGCUUCCACCUCAAUGUCCUGACGCCCCCUCCCCGCACCCACCUGCUGUGCUGGUGGACAGUGGGUCACAUGGGGGGACCUGCAGGGGCCCUGUGACAGGCACGUGGGGGCAUCUGAGGGGUUCGUGGGGAGGCCCUGUGGGGGGCUUCAGUGCCCGGCCCAUCUGAGCCCAGCCUUCGUGUGUCCGGGGAAGGUACCAGGCCUGUGAGUGGAGGAGGCUCGUGUGAUCACGUGGUGGUCACGUGCGGGCCGUACAGGAAGCGCGUAAGGGAGGCAAUUUGGAGGGUUCGUGGGGGGCACAUGGGUCUAAUGUGGGGUGACGGGGCUGUGUGGCAGGCACAUGGGGUACGUGGGAGGUAUGUGGGGGCUGUGUAUGGGGCACGUGAUGGUCACUGCCGAGCGCUUGUGGGGGUUGUGGGGUUCAUGUGGGGGGCACGUAGGGGCUCGAGGGGGACUCACACCUGUGUGCCACAUGUUGGGCGUGUGGGGGGCACGCGGAGGGCAUUUGGGGAGGUCGCGUGGAGAAGCAUUGUUGGGGGCCCCGGUGCCCUGCCUUGUGAGCCUCUGGCGGGGGCAUCAGGCCUGUGAGUGAAGGUCGUUCAGGGCCUCGCCCUUUGGCUGACCUAGGCUUUCGCAGCUGAAACCCCAACGGCACAGGGCAGAGAAGCCCUGCGCGGGCGCUGUCCGGUCCCGGCCGCGGAGACCCUGCCACCGGAAGGAGAUAGGUGCUGUUUUUCAGUACUAGACUCCGGCCGUCUCUUACACGCCCAAGUGGCUCGAGUGGGGCGACGUGUCCUUUCAAGUCCUUACAACCGACUUGAGAGGAAGUGCCCUUGCCUCCUGUUUACAGGAGAGAUUUUGCUCAUCAGGUCUGACGGCCAGGAUGGAUUCACCGCCCACAGCCUCUGGCCGUCUGGCCCCUGGCAGUUUCCCUGCUGGUUUUGGUUGUAGAAUCCCAGCCCACGUGGGGGCGGCAGGGUGCCCCGCUGACGGACCCCGGCCUGUCCCAUCCCUGCUGUGCCUCACGCUCUACGUCGGUGAUUCCGUACCCGAUGCUCUUCUCAUCAGGGUGGGCCCUGGGCUGGAGUCCCGGGGACCACCUGCCAGUCUGUCCCAAGGGCCGGUUGGACGUCCAGAGGUUGGUCACCCUAGAAACGCUAGGUGGCAUUCACAGAGGCAGUGCGGCAGGGUGAUCGGGACCCAGCCCGCCCAGGGUGGCCCCGGUUCCACGACUUUCUAGCUGCGGGCAAGGCGUCAGCCGGGCCCCCCCUCUGUCUCGUCCGUCAGGCGGUGGCGAUCGGACACAGGCCUUGACCUUGCCCUGGGUGUAAAGCCGGUAGCUGGUGCCAGCUCUUGUGGAGUCAGCCUCCAGGGUGGCCGAUCGCCAGCCUGCAGCGGAUAGGGCUGACCUGCGUGGCCAGGAGGGCAGGGCCGAGGUGACAGUGAUGCCCCCAUCUUGCUCUGUCCUGGGUCCCUCACGGGGAAGCUAAGUGAUUUCGACACGGCCGUGUGCGAGCCCCGGAGGGAGGCCUCGGGAGGAACGAGCCCUGCCCCGCGCCGGCGUCUGGGACGUCCGGCCUCCAGGAUGGGGGGGGAUCCGCGGCUGUUUGGGAGCCGAGGUCCGUGGGGCUUUGACCGGCCCCCUGGUGAUCGAGCACAUGUGCUUAUCAUCAUGUUAAGCCAUCGCGUCCUGGGGUCACUUGGGCAGCCAGGGUGGCGGGCACAGCUGUGAGGGGUGGCAGUGGCCAGGCCACGCCGAGCGCUUCCCGACAGCGCUAGUCACAGGAACCUGCGAAGGCUGCCGCUACUGUCCCCGUCUCGCAGGGGCUCAGGGGGCCAGCACCGGACUCAAGUCCUCAUCGGCCUUAGGAGGGGCCGGCCUCGGACACAGUCCCUGUCCCGAGCUGGCCUGAACGCACACAGAAGCGUUCCUCUUUGGGUGUCGGCUCUCCGGCGGGCCGGAGCAGGGGAGACAGGCAGACGGGUCCUCUGUUCUCGGUGGGCUUGCUUCCUCCAGCAGUUAGGGAGAAGGGAUGGGGUCUCACUCACCUGUCCUCCCCUCCUCACUGUCCCCGGGCUGGCCGGCUCUCUCCCGUCUUCCCAAGUCCGGGGCAGGCUUGAGCUGGGCAUCAGUCUCAGUGUGGCCAGGGCAGGGAGGCCCUCUGCCCGCAGGCCCCCAUCCCACCCUCGGGCUGAAGCUCCUGAGGGUGGAAAACUGUUUCCUCCUGUGUCCCGGGUGCCUGGCACACAGCAGGGCCCGGUGUGGACUGGCCGGCUGGCGGAUGAAAGUGCCUGGUUCGCGCUGAGCAUUCCAAACCAGAAGCCUGGAGGCCUGGCGUCGUCCGGUGACAGCCAUGGGCACGUAGGGCAUUUAGCCCUCCCGGCUCCAGCCUGGGCCCCGUGCACACCGCCCUCGAGCAGGGCGGCAGGGGGCUGCUGGAGGGAGGCGGGUUAGGCCGGGCGCUGGGGAAGCACACAGGCCACCUCUGAGGACCUUGUGAGUGACGCGGGGGCCUGCCCAGGGCUGCUGGGUUAUGGUUUAUCGAUGACACGGUUGCCCCGAUGUCACAAGUGCCCUGGCCCCAAGCUACGAGAGGCGGCUGCUCCACAUUCGGAUGAAUCUCUUCACCUUCCUAAGUGCUCAGCCUUCGUCUGCGAGCUGGGGAGGUAGUGUGGCCCCAGCGGCAAAGCCUUUAGCCGAGGCCAGGGCAGAAUCCGUGCCCAAUAAAUGCCACGCCGCCACCGGGAAGCAGGUAAAUGGCUGUGAACCAACACGGUCUUAGCGCGCAGACAGGGGCUCGGCCUCUCAGCGCAGUAAGGCGGAGGCCACGCAGCCCAGCUUCUCGGUGGCCCGCCCCCCUCCCUGGGCAGCAGGCCUUAUGCCUGCUUACUUAUUGGAUGUGCCCUCCUAAAACCCAGGCCCAGGCCACGAAGGGGGCACCGGAGGCUCGCUUUCGAGGCUGGUGCUCACACGGGGCCCGGCCCCUUGUAGCCACCGCGUCCCCGGGCCCAGGCCGUAUUUUCCCCUGUGCUAAUUUCACAAAGACAUGCUCCUACUCCUGUUGAUUGAACAGUUCUGUGCUGACAGUGGAGAAGAUUUGCUGCAGAGUUUAUCAUAACCCCAGAGCAUGGGCGGUUUGUCUGGCUCUCAGGAGCUCGGGAGGGAGGCGGAUAUAUUUUACGGCGCGCCAGGAAGACAGACAGACGCAUUUAUGUGUCACUUGUUGCGAUACAAAUGCUAACUUGUACUCCUUCCAAAACUUUUAAUGAAUUGUAUAUGUUCCGCGAGAUUUAUAGGGUGAGCGGAAUGGCUCAAAAUGUUACUUUUAACAUAUUUGUCACUUAGGCAACAGCACCAAAAAAAAAAUCUGGAAGAUAUUGCAUUCAGAAAUAAAUCACAAAUAGCUGCAUUUUAAAAGAGGUUUAUUUUGGCCGUUAAUGGUUGAUGAGCCCCCCAGUGCAGGAUUUAAAGUUAAAUUAUGCAAGAUCAAAAACAAACCUUAUAAUACUUAAUCAAACAUGCAUAAAACUGGCAGGUCCAAUAAAUUCUCCCAAUUAACUUG